UGUUAGGUUUUUCGGAAUAGUGC
rnacentral:siRNA from 1 species